GUAAGGAAUAUUGGACAAUGGACGCAAGUCUGAUCCAGCCAUGCCGCGUGAAAGAUUAAGGUCCUCUGGAUUGUAAACUUCUUUUAUAAGGGACGAAAAACGGCUUUUCUAAGUCGUCUGACGGUACCUUAUGAAUAAGCACCGGCUAACUCCGUGCCAGCAGCCGCGGUAAUACGGAGGGUGCAAGCGUUAUCCGGAUUCACUGGGUUUAAAGGGUGCGUAGGCGGGCAGGUAAGUCAGUGGUGAAAUCCUAGAGCUUAACUCUAGAACUGCCAUUGAUACUAUCUGUCUUGAAUAUUGUGGAGGUAAGCGGAAUAUGUCAUGUAGCGGUGAAAUGCUUAGAUAUGACAUAGAACACCUAUUGCGAAGGCAGCUUACUACGCAUAUAUUGACGCUGAGGCACGAAAGCGUGGGGAUCAAACAGGAUUAGAAACCCCGGUAGUCC
rnacentral:rRNA from 1 species